rnacentral:sRNA from 1 species
AAAAAGUCACGUGACGGAGAGGUAGAUAGACGUGUCUUAUACUUGCUCCGUCUUUUUUGACAAUUAUCUCUGGAUUUAGAUAUUUCUUGUAUAUAAAAUUUGUACAGUGGAUUUAAAAAGUGAAUAUCAACUAUAUGUUGGAUUAUCAGAUUGGAAUUUGUUCGUAAAAACGUGAUUUAUGUCAUAUUUUUGUGUGAACAAGCAUUGUGAACUACAGGUGAGUAGAGCUCACUCACUCUCGGACAGUUCUCCCGUGUAUAACGUAUACAAUGGAAAACACAAAAAUGAUCAAACCUGUAUACUUAAGAAACAGGGAUAUUCAAACCGAUAAAAGCAAUCCUAUUUCUGAUUAUAUCCUUGCUUGCGCAGUUGGCACUGUUGUCUCUGAUAUUAAAUGCAUCCAAAGAGAUAGGGACUUAUGGAGAAUAUAUGUAGAAUCGCGAGAAAGUCGCAAUCUGCUUAUCUCCGAGGGUUUUGAGCUUCAAAAUAAAACAGUGGCUGUUUUUGAUAACAAUCCAUUCUCCGCAGGGACCGAGAAACCCAGCGAGGAUGUUGUGAGGAUAACGGUCCGUGGGAUACCCCUAUCUGUGGAUGACACGUGUAUCAAAAACAUGCUGGAAAAGUUAGGUGCAUUACUUACAUCAGACAUUAAAUAUGAAAAAAUCCGUAACCCUAACACUUUCAAAAUGACAGAAAUAUUAAAUGGAAAUCGUUUUGUAUAUAUGAAACCAAUGGAACAAGGCAAAUUUCUACCGAAAAGCAGCGAAUGCGCAGGGCUUAAAUGCUCAAUCUUCCAUAAGGGGCAACCUACUACCAAGAGAAGCAUUUUGUGUACCAAUUGCUGGGGAGAUGACCACUUGAGGUUUAAUUGUGAAUAUGAGACAUGUUGCAAAGUUUGCAAAAAUCCAGGCCAUUCCCCAGGGGACAAAGCAUGUUCCAAGUACGACCCUUCCCCUAAGGACAUAAUUGCCUUCAGUGGUAAGGAUGAUGUGAUGUCCAACUUCUACCCAUGUGAUAUCAAGAUUUUUGGUAUUUCGCAUGCCUCCGCUGAGCAUGCCUUCCAGUACAGCAAGGCCAUGCGAUCUGGGGAUCUCAUAAGGGCGUCGUCUGUCCGUAACGCCGCCACCGCACUCGAAGCUAAGCGCAUAGGCGCCCAAGUCACCGUUCCGGAUCACUGGAUACAACAACGCGAAGACAUUAUGCGCAAGGUAUUAGAGGCUGAUUGAAUUCAGAGACAAGAUCUCUGCAACUGGGUCAUCCACUUUACUCGUGGAAGCCGCUUUUGACGACUACUGGGGAUCCGGGCUCGACAAAAAAGGCACAAUGUACACCGGGAUGAAGGCGUGGCCAGGCAAAAACACCAUGGGCCAAAUACUUACCGACAUUGGCCGAUCACGACGUCCGAAUGCACCGCAGCGGAAACAGUCGGUAAGAAACCAGAAGAACAGAUCCUAAUUAUAAUAUUACAUUAUUAUGUAAUUAUAUUGUACGCUAAAUAUCAGAAAUGCAGACAUGUAAUC